UCUCUACUCUCUCUAGCUUCCAUUGGCUUUUUUUAACCCGAUCCCUUGCCCGAUGUUCGAGCCCUAACAUUCUCGGAUUUUCUUGAGUAAAUGACGAACCGCCGCGAAAGUUCUCCGAUUUGAGCCCAAACAUCGCACAUCAUAGCAAGUAAAUUUAAUAUGAGAGUUAAAUAAAUUACAUGCACAAAAAAAGAUAAAAAUCCGAACCAAAAAAAUGACAGAGCUCGAUCUGUCCAAGAAAGUAGCCGAUAGAUAUCUGAAGCGAGAAGUCCUUGGCGAAGGUACCUAUGGAGUUGUGUACAAAGCCAUUGAUACCAAGACAGGACAGAAAGUCGCAAUUAAGAAAAUCCGGCUUGGGAGGCAAAAGGAAGGGGUGAAUUUUACGGCACUUAGAGAAAUCAAGCUCCUUAAAGAGCUUAAAGAUCCGAAUAUAAUUGAGUUAAUUGAUGCGUUCCCCCAUAAGGGUAACUUGCACCUUGUGUUCGAGUUCAUGGAGACAGACCUUGAAGCUGUUAUUCGUGACCGAAAUAUAUUUCUUUCACCGGCUGACAUAAAAUCAUACCUUCAGAUGACACUUAAAGGACUUGCAUUUUGCCACAAGAAAUGGGUUUUACAUAGGGAUAUGAAGCCAAACAACUUAUUAAUCGGAUCAAAUGGACAGCUCAAACUUGCAGAUUUUGGUUUAGCACGAAUAUUUGGCAGCCCAGAUCGCAAGUUUACUCACCAGGUUUGCUUCUCCUUUUAUAAUUGCAUGGCGAUUCAUUUAAUUGAGGAGAGUUCUAGUAUUUGGAGUUCAAGAUCUUUGGGGAUGAAUCUGUGGAUAACUCUGUAGGUACUGCUUUUGUUGAAAGAAAUCUUAUUUGGUGGUGGUUCUUAAGGAAUUGAGUUUGUGAAGUUGAGUUUUAUUUAUGAUGUAGAUUAUGAACUUUACAUGUUAUCAAUAACUGCCCUUUUUCGUUUAACAUAAAUUGUGUGUCACUAAGGUUGCUAAGAGGAAAUUAAACCUUUUUGAGUUGGUACUUUGCUUGGUCAUGAGGGAUUUCAUGCAAGUUUUUAUAUGGUUAUUUGACAGAAAAAAAUUGGCAUUCGAUCAUGAUUAAGUUUUGUAGAAAGAAAGUAACAAGCAGGAAUUACUUUUACUUUCAUUUACAACUUUUUCUCCUUAUUGUUUCGUUAUUGAUGAUGUGUUGAUGGUUGCUUUAUUGUAUAAUUGCUGCUGCUGUUGUAAAUACUGUUACUGUUAUGUCACUGGUUUAUGCAAGCCUGCAAGAAGGAAGGAGCUGAUUGUUUGAGAGGUCUUUGCUCGAUGGUAUAGAGCACCUGAGCUGUUGUUUGGUACCAAGCAAUACGGUUCGGGGGUGGAUGUUUGGGCUGCAGCUUGUAUUUUUGCUGAACUUCUCCUGCGUCGUCCUUUGCUGCAGGGUUCAAGUGACAUCGAUCAAUUAGGAAAGAUUUUUGCUGCAUUUGGGACUCCAAAACCUUCUCAGUGGCCUGAUAUGCUAUACCUCCCCGAUUACGUGGAGUAUCAACAUGUUCCUGCACCCCCUCAACGGUCACUGUUCCCAAUGGCUAGUGAAGAUGCUUUAGAUCUGUUGUCGAAGAUGUUUACUUAUGAUCCCAAAGCUAGAAUAUCAGUGCAGCAGGCACUUGAGCACCGAUACUUUUCAUCUGCACCACUGGCUACAGAUCCAGAUAAACUCCCUAGACCUGCACCUAAGCGUGAAUCUAGGGUUUCAGACUUUAACUCACAUGAUGGUCCAACUGUCUUAUCGCCUCCAAGAAAGUCCAGGAGAGUGAUGCCAGAACGUGAGGGUUUUGAAGGAAAUGCCUACCAAGUUGAUAAGAAUGAUGACCAUAUUGGUGAGAUGAGACAGGCAGCUGGUGACAAUACAAGCAGGAAUGAACCAGUCCCAAUGUCGAUAGAUUUUUCUAUUUUUGGAGCAAAACCUCCAAAUAGGCCGACAAUUAACAGUGUUGACAGAACACAUUUAAAAAGGAAAUUAGAUCUUGAAUUCCAACAUCCCGAAUAAGAACAUUUUAUGUCUAGUGUACUCAAAUCCAGAUUUGGUUAUUGUCCAAGGGAUGUAUUACUGCUGGGCCAACACUAUGAGGUUUUGUAGGGGUGAGAAAUAACUGUUAAAAGGUGAAAGGGAAGGCAGGAAGUAGUGGCUCCCCUUCCACGUUUGAGGAGAAUUUGUAUUAUAGCCCACGGAAUGGAAGAACAACAUAUCGAAGGGAUUCUUUAUAGAUAUUAUUUGACUAGAGUUGAUGCUUGAGAACUGUAGAAUUUGAGUAUAUUUUUUAUUGCACUAAAUGAGGAAAGCUCUGUACACAAAUUGCGGUUAACUGUUUGUGAACGAGAUAAUGUGACCUGUGAUCUCAAUUUGGUUGGAAGAAACUGCUCUAUUGACCAUCAA